UCCCAGGACUCCAGGAUCACGACCUGAGCUGAAGGCAGAUGCUCAGCCACUGAACCACCUAGCCCUUCCACUAUCUUUAUUGAGCACCUACUGUGUGCCGGCCACUGUCCAGGGCUCCAAGGACAGACACAACAGUGCACAAAACAAGACCCUUGCCAUGAGUUAUUGACACCUAAAGUGCUGUGGGGUGAAAAACUACACGGAUUUUUGUGGCUCCUCUUUGAAAUGACAACUGGUCCCUCCCACCCCAGGAGCUGCCAUAAAUCAUCAGGACGACAGCCUGUGAUGGGUGCAACGUGUCCACAGACAUAAUUCCUGGGUUGGGGGGUUAACUCAAGAUUUUGCUGGACAUCACCUAGGUAGCCUCCUAGGGCUGGUGACUUUUAGAAAAAUUGCAUAUUUGCAGGAACCCCGGCGAGAGGGGUCAAGGGAGAAAGAAAGCAACUGUCAUUGGGUGUUCAGCUCAUUUUGACCUCACAGCCUUGGGGAAUUAGGGUUACCAUCCUCAUUUCUCACAUGGGGAAACUGAGGGUUGGGAGGGGCCAGUUCAAGGUCACAUGGUUUUGAUAGAGCUGGAUUUGAAGCUGGUUUGGGUCUGAGUCCAUUCCCUGGGCUACACUGCCUGUCUUACAAAGGGCUAUUUUUUAAAAAAAUAUUUUAUUUAUUUAUUCAUGAGAGAGAUCUGGAGAGAGAGGCAGAGACAUAGGCAGAAGGAGAAGCAGGCUCCCUGAGAGGAGCCCAAUGAGGAACUCGAUCCUGGAACCCGGGGAUCACACCCUGAGCCAACGGCAGACACUCAACCACUUAGCCACCCAGGUGUCCCCAGAGGACUUAAAAUAUAGCAAUAAUGAUAAACGAUGAUAAUUCUAGGAUAGUGACAAGUUGCUACAGGACUGGGCACUCACUUUGUGAAUUUAGUCCCCAUCAUAUGCCAUCCCGAGGUGGGGAGUGCUUUUCUCCCAUUGUAUAGGUGAGGAGACUGAGGCCCAGGGAGUUUCCCAGCACUUACUUACUCACCACCUGUUAUUGCUGUACUCAUUACCUGUGUUCACCACCCAAAUGUGAGUACCACCAAAGCAGGAAUUAUGUCUGUUUUGUAUGUGGCUGGGUUCCCAGGAUUUAGCUCACAGGAGACACUUAAUCAAUGCAUAUUAAGUAAAGGGGAACUGAACCCUGUCAAGAGCAAGCUCAAGGCAACUCUAGCUUCCAGAAGCAAGAAUUGCCAGGGGCCUAGAAAGGGGAGCAUCUCUGCAACUGCAGGAAGGAAAGUGGAGGGCCCAUCUCUGUACCCACACACCGUGUCUGGUCUCUUAAUUUCUCUGAACCUGUUGCUUCA